UUUUCCCCUAGAGGCUUCGCAGGUGUGACUACUGUGCCAUAUGUGUGUCAGUAGGUGACAGAGAGGAGAGAGGCUAUGCCUACACUCAGUGAUCUGACCUAUGAACAUCUGAAUGAUUUACAGCCUAACAUU